UGGGCCUGCCAGACCUUGCUAAGCCACUUACUCUUUACGUGACUGGAAAGGACAAGGUGGCUAUGGGAGUGUUGUCCCAGACUCUGGGGACAUGGGACAGACCCGUGGCUUAUCUCCCGAAACCGCUGGACAAUGUUGCCACUGGGUGGCUGGGCUGCUUAUGGGCAGUUGCUGCAGUUUGCCUUACUGGUCCGGGAGGCUGACUUUGGGCCAAGAUUUGAUCGUAAAAGUCCCGCAUGAGGUCAACACUCUCCUGCAAGGGAACCUUCAUAAAUGGCUGUUGACAUCCCGGAUUACUCAAUAUCAGGGACUGUUAUGUGAGAACCCCCAUGUUACUGUUGAGCCUUGUCAAGCCCUGAAUCCGGCCACUCUCCUUCCUGUGGGAGAAGGUGGGUCCUCACAUGAUUGCAAGGAAAUAUGCCAGCAGACCUGACUUGAGGGACCAGCCAAUCCCGGACUCAGAUUUGGUCCUAUACGCCAGUGGCUCCGACUGUCGGGACAUGCAGUAGUCAUGGAAGAAACCAUCGCUGAAGCUAGCUGUCUGCCAUCACACUGGUCCGCUCAACAGGCCGAACUAUAUGCUCUAAUCCAGGACCUCCAGCUGUCAAAAGGACAAAAUCUCAGAACUGCACUGCCUGCUCACAGGUCAGCGCUGCCUCUUGGCACAGACAGAAACCUCCAGGGAUUAAGCUAAAAGGCACGCUGCCUUUUGAACACCUGGAAGUGGACUUCACUGAAAUGAAACCUCACUGACACUACCGUUACCUGCUGCUCAUGCAAUUAAAGUUGCAGGUGUCACUCCCUGGAUCCGCCACAUGAGAACAUACCACGCAGACCCAGAAAACACUGAGUGGACUGCGCAGAGGGGCCCCACUGACCCUCAAGAGACUAAGAUCAUCCUUAGAAGAAGGAAAUUAAGAUCCUGGACGAGCCCAUUCAGGAUGAAGCCACAUAAUCAACUCCUGCUGCAUGGCUUCAUCAAUGUGAUUUUGACUUUAACUUCUGUUUCAACUCAGGACAAUGUUUUCAUCUCACGGGCACAUUCCUACAUGGACUUCCACAACACCUCCAGCUGCUGGGUAUCUGGGGCUAUGCCUCUGUCUGUGAUGGAUGGACCUCCUUGGUGUUCUUUUCUGGAACGACAAAAAGAGACUUUCCUUUCUCUUGUCAAUCAUAAUCUCUCCCUGCUCUCUUGGUAUAAGCCCGACCUACAGUCAAUAGACUCAGGUCAUGGGGUUACAUUUGAUGUAAACACCAGUUUCAUAGGAGUAAUAAAAGCCUAUACCGCAUAUUUAAAGGACAAAGGAAAAAAGCUCCCUGACCGGCAAGGGAGGACAGGCCUCUAGGUAUGUUGAAGAAUUCUACCAAGUCUGGGAUGAAUAUUUCUGGAUGACCCCAGAAAGAGGUCAAUUAAUUACUCCUACUGCUAUAUGCUGGAACAAAAAGAA